UGGGUGUGUAGUUAACAUACCAGGGCCGAUGAUAUUACUCGCACUGGUCUACCGUCUCGCCCGUGGAGGUUUUAACCGGUAAGAAUCCGGC